ACAUCUGCAAAAUCAGAUGUUAGGUGUGAAAACCUACUGAGAAAACCGCGAUAUAUACACGCCGCGAGCGUGUUUUUU
rnacentral:sRNA from 1 species